rnacentral:lncRNA from 1 species
AUCAUUAACUGGUUAGCAUAGGUUAGAGCUAACAACAUUAUCAUUCCGGCAAGCCAAAAUGCAUGCCAUACUUUUGCCUAUGAUUGGCAACCACAAUAUUGUAACUCAGUCCACAACUGCAUCACAUAUACAAUGCUUCACACAUGGCAGAUCAAUCCAAAUGUUCCUCUUUUCUCUGACUUAUAGUUAUGCAAAAUUCAGUUUACCUAUAAGUCUCUACUAUAAUUAAACAAAAAUUUAUCAUCUUGAAUUGAUUUUCAAAGUUGGACUAGUCAUCGCCUCACUCCAAACCAUGGCAAGCCAAGAACAAUGCCACACCUU